UAAUACAGAGGGUGCAAGCGUUGUUCGGAAUUAUUGGGCGUAAAGCGCGUGUAGGCGGCUUGGCAAGUCGGGUGUGAAAGCCCUCAGCUCAACUGAGGAAGUGCGCCCGAAACUGCUUUGCUUGAGUGCUGGAGAGGGUCGCGGAAUUCCCGAAGUAGAGGUGAAAUUCGUAGAUAUCGGGAGGAACACCGGUGGCGAAGGCGGCGACCUGGACAGUAACUGACGCUGAGACGCGAAAGCGUGGGGAGCAAACAGGAUUAGAUACCCUGGUAGUCCACGCCGUAAACGAUGAGAACUAGGUGUCGUGGGUGUUGACCCCCGCGGUGCCGUAGCUAACGCAUUAAGUUCUCCGCCUGGGAAGUACGGCCGCAAGGCUA
rnacentral:rRNA from 1 species